rnacentral:lncRNA from 10 species
UUUAGACUUAACAUUUUCUUUUUUUGUAGGUUUCAGGCACAGAACUGUAUAUCCAAUAAUAGUGAAAUGGAUCCCACUAAUUAUGACAGAAAUGAUGAUACAUUUAAAUGACUUGGAUGUUUUAUAGGUAUGAUCUCGUGAAACCUUGAGAGAAACUGAAUGACGAAUGAAACUAUUGUUCCUGUUUCACACAGAAGAAAACUGAGGUUGGCACUCAUCAUGAGCCCCUGUUCUCAUUCUGCAAAUGGUGAAGCUCUCUAUUGUCCUGACCCCACAGUUCCUGUCCCAUGACCAGGGCCAGCUCACCAAGGAGCUGCAGCAGCAUGUAAAGUCAGUGACAUGCCCAUGCGAGUACCUGAGGAAGGUUGAUGGACGGAUGGCUACAUGGAUGUGAUGGAGAUGGUUUACUAUCGGGACCUUCCGCACCCUGCUGAUGUUUUGUUGCUUAGGAUAUGAAUGGCUGAGCGGAGGCUGUAAAACCUGGCACUCUGCUUGGGUUAUCAAUACUCUGGCUGACCAUCAUCAUCGUGGGACUGACUUUGGUGGAAGUCCUUGGUUACAUGUCAUUAUUGCGUUUCCGACAAGUUAUAAAGUUGUCAUUACCCUCUGGAUAGUUUACCUUUGGGUGUCUCUCCUGAAGACUAUCUUCUGGUCUCGAAAUGGACAUGAUGGAUC